GAACCGUGCGAACGUUAUUCGGAAUCACUGGGCUUAAAGAGUGCGUAGGCGGCUUCGUAAGUUGGAGGUGAAAUCCCAUCGGCUCAACCGUGGAACUGCCUUCAAUACUGCGAGACUCGAGGGAGGUAGGGGCACGCGGAACUUUCAGUGGAGCGGUGAAAUGUGUUGAGAUUGAAAGGAACGCCAGUGGCGAAAGCGGCGUGCUGGAUCUCUUCUGACGCUGAGGCACGAAAGCUAGGGUAGCGAACGGGGGAUUAGAUACCCCGGUAGUCCUAGCCUUAAACGAUGGGUACUGGGUAAGAAGCGUACUAACGGCGCCUCCUGCCCGAAGCGAAAGUGUUAAGUACCCCGCCUGGGGAGUAUGGUCGCAAGGCUG
rnacentral:rRNA from 1 species